UUCCAUAGUAGGCAAGUUCCUUCAUGUGGAGUAGUGCAACCUGUGUAUGGGUUAUAACAUUUGAAGACACUUGGACUUGCACAGUUUUUAAGUCAUUCUUAAACCAUUCUUAAACUUUGAACAUGUGAGCUGUCUAAAAGAAAUCUCUUAAUUUCAUAGUAAUUUCCACUUUGUGCACAUAUUGAUUUCUUAAUGGUAAUAAGCCUUGUUUAUGAUAGUGUUCUCUGUUGAGAAUAUUUUCAUGGAAUAAAGCAAUCUUUUCAUGGUC
rnacentral:lncRNA from 1 species